rnacentral:tmRNA from 1 species
GGGGAUGCCAGGUCUCGACGGGAGAAGCUGGUUCCGGAUUGCGAGCCGAGAGGUACCGACCUCGUGAAAUCAGUACAAAACAACAAGUGCCAAUCGCACAAGUUACGCAACCCUUCCUUUAGCUGCAUAAGCUAAUGGAUUGGAAGCUGACCUCCUUUGAUGAGGUCACGUCCCCUGGAGUCGUUUUUCUGACCGAAUCCAGGAAGGAUGUCAUAGAAGUCAGAAUGCUGGGCGUUGAUUCGCGGGGCGCCCCUAAGAGAGCCUUCGGGUUCAAGCGAAUGGUUUGCCGGUAGUUGUGCAGAACAUCUUAAGGCGAACGAGACCAAAUCU